GACGAACGCUGGCGGCGUGCUUAACACAUGCAAGUCGAACGGAAAGGCCCUGCUUUUGUGGGGUGCUCGAGUGGCAAACGGGUGAGUAACACGUGAGUAACCUGCCCUUGACUUUGGGAUAACUUCAGGAAACUGGGGCUAAUACCGGAUAGGAGCUCCUGCUGCAUGGUGGGGGUUGGAAAGUUUCGGCGGUUGGGGAUGGACUCGCGGCUUAUCAGCUUGUUGGUGGGGUAGUGGCUUACCAAGGCUUUGACGGGUAGCCGGCCUGAGAGGGUGACCGGCCACAUUGGGACUGAGAUACGGCCCAGACUCCUACGGGAGGCAGCAGUGGGGAAUAUUGCACAAUGGGCGGAAGCCUGAUGCAGCAAAGCCGCGUGCGGGAUGACGGCCUUCGGGUUGUAAACCGCUUUCGCCUGUGACGAAGCGUGAGUGACGGUAAUGGGUAAAGAAGCACCGGCUAACUACGUG
rnacentral:rRNA from 1 species